rnacentral:rRNA from 1 species
AUUGAACGCUGGCGGCAGGCCUAACACAUGCAAGUCGAACGAGUGGCGGACGGGUGAGUAAUGUCUGGGAAACUGCCUGAUGGAGGGGGAUAACUACUGGAAACGGUAGCUAAUACCGCAUACCAUCAGAUGUGCCCAGAUGGGGGUAGCGUGUUGGUGGGGUAACGGCUCACCAAGGCGUCGAUCCCUAGCUGGUCUGUGAGGAUGACCAGCCACACUGGAACUUGGACACGGUCCAGAUUCCUACGUGAGGCAGCAGUGGGGAAUAUUUCACAAUGAGCGAACGCCUGAUGCAGCCAUGCCGCGUGUAUGAAGAAGGCCUUCAGGUUGUAAAGUACUUUCAGCAGGGAGGCGUUACCCGCAGAAGAAGCACCGGCUAACUCCGUGCCAGCAGCCGCGGUAAUAC